UACGUAGGGGGGCAAGCGUUGUCCGGAAUUAUUGGGCGUAAAGAGCUCGUAGGCGGUCUGUCGCGUCUGCUGUGAAAACUCAGGGCUUAACCCUGAGCUUGCAGUGGGUACGGGCAGACUAGAGUGCGGUAGGGGAGACUGGAAUUCCUGGUGUAGCGGUGAAAUGCGCAGAUAUCAGGAGGAACAGCCCGUGGCUAAGGCGGCUCUCUAGUACGGUACUGACGCUGAGACGCGAAAGCGUGGGAGCGAACAGG
rnacentral:rRNA from 1 species